AGUGAACGCUGGCGGUAGGCCUAACACAUGCAAGUCGAACGGCAGCACAGGAGAGCUUGCUCUCUGGGUGGCGAGUGGCGGACGGGUGAGGAAUACAUCGGAAUCUACCUUUUCGUGGGGGAUAACGUAGGGAAACUUACGCUAAUACCGCAUACGACCUUCGGGUGAAAGCAGGGGACCUUCGGGCCUUGCGCGGAUAGAUGAGCCGAUGUUGGAUUAGCUAGUUGGCGGGGUAAAGGCCCACCAAGGCGACGAUCCGUAGCUGGUCUGAGAGGAUGAUCAGCCACACUGGAACUGAGACACGGUCCAGACUCCUACGGGAGGCAGCAGUGGGGAAUAUUGGCCAAUGGGCGCAAGCCUGAUCCAGCCAUACCGCGUGGGUGAAGAAGGCCUUCGGGUUGUAAAGCCCUUUUGUUGGGAAAGAAAAGCAGCCAGUUAAUACCUGGUUGUUCUGACGGUACCCAAAGAAUAAGCACCGGCUAACUUCGUGCCAGCAGCCGCAGUAAAAC
rnacentral:rRNA from 1 species